rnacentral:rRNA from 1 species
ACGAGUGGCGGACGGGUGAGUAAUGUCUGGGAAACUGCCUGAUGGAGGGGGAUAACUACUGGAAACGGUGGCUAAUACCGCAUGAUGUCGCAAGUCCAAAGAGGGGGACCUUCGGGCCUCUUGCCAUCAGAUGUGCCCAGAUGGGAUUAGCUUGUUGGUGAGGUAACGGCUCACCAAGGCGACGAUCCCUAGCUGGUCUGAGAGGAUGACCAGCCACACUGGAACUGAGACACGGUCCAGACUCCUACGGGAGGCAGCAGUGGGGAAUAUUGCACAAUGGGCGCAAGCCUGAUGCAGCCAUGCCGCGUGUAUGAAGAAGGCCUUCGGGUUGUAAAGUACUUUCAGCGGGGAGGAAGGUGUUGUGGUUAAUAACCGCAGCAAUUGACGUUACCCGCAGAAGAAGCACCGGCUAACUCCGUGCCAGCAGCCGCGGUAAUACGGAGGGUGCAAGCGUUAAUCGGAAUUACUGGGCGUAAAGCGCACGCAGGCGGUCUGUCAAGUCGGAUGUGAAAUCCCCGGGCUCAACCUGGGAACUGCAUUCGAAACUGGCAGGCUUGAGUCUUGUAGAGGGGGGUAGAAUUCCAGGUGUAGCGGUGAAAUGCGUAGAGAUCUGGAGGAAUACCGGUGGCGAAGGCGGCCCCCUGGACAAAGACUGACGCUCAGGUGCGAAAGCGUGGGGAGCAAACAGGAUUAGAUACCCUGGUAGUCCACGCCGUAAACGAUGUCUACUUGGAGGUUGUGCCCUUGAGGCGUGGCUUCCGGAGCUAACGCGUUAAGUAGACCGCCUGGGGAGUACGGCCGCAAGGUUAAAACUCAAAUGAAUUGACGGGGGCCCGCACAAGCGGUGGAGCAUGUGGUUUAAUUCGAUGCAACGCGAAGAACCUUACCUGGUCUUGACAUCCACAGAACUUUCCAGAGAUGGAUUGGUGCCUUCGGGAACUGUGAGACAGGUGCUGCAUGGCUGUCGUCAGCUCGUGUUGUGAAAUGUUGGGUUAAGUCCCGCAACGAGCGCAACCCUUAUCCUUUGUUGCCAGCGGUCCGGCCGGGAACUCAAAGGAGACUGCCAGUGAUAAACUGGAGGAAGGUGGGGAUGACGUCAAGUCAUCAUGGCCCUUACGACCAGGGCUACACACGUGCUACAAUGGCGCAUACAAAGAGAAGCGACCUCGCGAGAGCAAGCGGACCUCAUAAAGUGCGUCGUAGUCCGGAUUGGAGUCUGCAACUCGACUCCAUGAAGUCGGAAUCGCUAGUAAUCGUGGAUCAGAAUGCCACGGUGAAUACGUUCCCGGGCCUUGUACACACCGCCCGUCACACCAUGGGAGUGGGUUGCAAAAGAAGUAGGUAGCUUAACCUUCGGGAGGGCGCUUACCACUUUGUGAUUCAUGACUGGGGUGAAGUCGUAACAAGGUAACCGUAGGGGAACCUGCGGUUGGAUCACCUCCUUACCUUAAAGAAGC